rnacentral:rRNA from 1 species
GCUUAACACAUGCAAGUCGAGGGGCAGCAUGGUCUUAGCUUGCUAAGGCCGAUGGCGACCGGCGCACGGGUGAGUAACACGUAUCCAACCUGCCGUCUACUCUUGGACAGCCUUCUGAAAGGAAGAUUAAUACAAGAUGGCAUCAUGAGUCCGCAUGUUCACAUGAUUAAAGGUAUUCCGGUAGACGAUGGGGAUGCGUUCCAUUAGAUAGUAGGCGGGGUAACGGCCCACCUAGUCUUCGAUGGAUAGGGGUUCUGAGAGGAAGGUCCCCCACAUUGGAACUGAGACACGGUCCAAACUCCUACGGGAGGCAGCAGUGAGGAAUAUUGGUCAAUGGGCGAGAGCCUGAACCAGCCAAGUAGCGUGAAGGAUGACUGCCCUAUGGGUUGUAAACUUCUUUUAUAAAGGAAUAAAGUCGGGUAUGGAUACCCGUUUGCAUGUACUUUAUGAAUAAGGAUCGGCUAACUCCGUGCCAGCAGCCGCGGUAAUACGGAGGAUCCGAGCGUUAUCCGGAUUUAUUGGGUUUAAAGGGAGCGUAGAUGGAUGUUUAAGUCAGUUGUGAAAGUUUGCGGCUCAACCGUAAAAUUGCAGUUGAUACUGGAUAUCUUGAGUGCAGUUGAGGCAGGCGGAAUUCGUGGUGUAGCGGUGAAAUGCUUAGAUAUCACGAAGAACUCCGAUUGCGAAGGCAGCCUGCUAAGCUGCAACUGACAUUGAGGCUCGAAAGUGUGGGUAUCAAACAGGAUUAGAUACCCUGGUAGUCCACACGGUAAACGAUGAAUACUCGCUGUUUGCGAUAUACUGCAAGCGGCCAAGCGAAAGCGUUAAGUAUUCCACCUGGGGAGUACGCCGGCAACGGUGAAACUCAAAGGAAUUGACGGGGGCCCGCACAAGCGGAGGAACAUGUGGUUUAAUUCGAUGAUACGCGAGGAACCUUACCCGGGCUUAAAUUGCAGAUGAAUUACGGUGAAAGCCGUAAGCCGCAAGGCAUCUGUGAAGGUGCUGCAUGGUUGUCGUCAGCUCGUGCCGUGAGGUGUCGGCUUAAGUGCCAUAACGAGCGCAACCCUUGUUGUCAGUUACUAACAGGUUCCGCUGAGGACUCUGACAAGACUGCCAUCGUAAGAUGUGAGGAAGGUGGGGAUGACGUCAAAUCAGCACGGCCCUUACGUCCGGGGCUACACACGUGUUACAAUGGGGGGUACAGAGGGCCGCUACCACGCGAGUGGAUGCCAAUCCCCAAAACCUCUCUCAGUUCGGACUGGAGUCUGCAACCCGACUCCACGAAGCUGGAUUCGCUAGUAAUCGCGCAUCAGCCACGGCGCGGUGAAUACGUUCCCGGGCCUUGUACACACCGCCCGUCAAGCCAUGGGAGCCGGGGGUACCUGAAGUACGUAACCGCAAGGAUCGUCCUAGGGUAAAACUGGUGACUGGGGCUAA